GUUAGGGUGGCAGAGUCCGGUAAUUGCAAAAGGCCUAAGCCCUUUAAUCAGAGGUUCAAAUCCUCUCUCUAACU
rnacentral:tRNA from 1 species